GUGCUCUCUUCAGCAGCACAUAUCCUAAAAUUGGGAAGAUACCGAGAAGAUUAGCAUGGCCCCUGCGCAAGGAUGACACGCAAAAGUUUUAAAAAUAAAUUUUCU
ensembl:snRNA U6 U6 spliceosomal RNA